GUUAAAUUUGCAUUGUAUAGCUGUUAUGUCAUUUCAAUGACAUUUGUUUAGUACUGAAUUAUCCUGUAUCAUCCCCAUUCCCUUGCAGUGCAUCACUACGAAGUGUUAAAAAAACUAGCAAAAUUGCUUCAGAAACUCAAAGGGAUCUUCUGUUCAAAAAAUGUCAGAGGUAGAAUCCAGAGCUGAGUGAACUGCAUGGUGGCUUAUAUAGGCAGUUAAGUUGUCAAGGCCAUAUAUCAUGAACUACUGAUGCUAGUCAUGACAUUUCUAGCAGAAAAUUCGAUUCUUCGUGAACAUUUAAAUGUUAGUAAUGUCAUUGACUGUUGACAGAGAAGCACGAAACUCACUCCAAAACCCAAAGUCUGUAGCAGAAUGAAAUCUGUUGAGAUGUUUACCUGAAACCAAAGAAGGAGAAGCAGACAGAAGAAAAACUAACAG